rnacentral:tRNA from 1 species
GACCCCAUCGUCUAGUCAGGUCUAGGACACCAGGUUUUCAUCCUGGUAACAGGGGUUCGAAUCCCCUUGGGGUCG